CAACUCUACGAAUGGUUAAAAACCCAACUCACCCUUAUUCACCGUGUAUCUCUCUCGCAAAACCCCUGUAAAACCCUACUAAUCCACCGUGUAAAACCUCUACGAAUGGUUAAAAACCCAACUCACCCUUAUUCACCGUGUAUCUCUCUCGCAAAACCCCUGUAAAACCCUACUAAUCCACCAAUUAAUGAAAAAAAAAAAGACCUUGUAUAUCUGGUUGAAUUAGAAGAAGGAAUAAAGACAAGUCAACAAUGGGUGCUGCUAUUGAACUAUCCAUUGCCCAGAAUCACAAGUUAAUCGUCUCAAGAUUAUUCCUUCCUGACCGCUGCUGGCGAUCCUCACUUUCGAUUAUUUGGCAUCAUCUCUAACAGUCCACAGCUAGAAGACGAUGGCCCAAAAGCAAAAACAAAGAAAAAAGGAAAAAUUGCCCAGAAAUGAAGAUUCGACGGUCCGUUGAUCAAUCGACGGGCCGUCCUUUGAAGCGUCGAUAAGUUCAAUUUUCCAGUGAUGGCCUAGGUUGAAGAGGACAAAGGACGGAGCCAUCGACGAAGCGUCGACCUGAUCGACAUUUCGUCAUUUGUAUCGUCAAACAGGUUUGUCUACCAGAAGAGAGAAAAACGGGAGAAUCAACGGAGUGUCGAACUGGUCGACGGCACCGUCGAAUGGACCAUAAAACUGAAGAAACAAAAGACGAAGGCAUCGACGGACCGUUGAACUAAUCGACAAUCCGUCGAUAUUGCUACUAGGGGCAGUUUUGCCAAUUGUUGAUGUGCGUUUUUGGAGCCUAUUUAAAGAACAUUUUUGGUUUUUGUGGACAGCAAGACAUUUUUCACGUUUUUGUAUUAGUUACAUUGGUGGGUGAGCAUUGAAUACACCACUUUUGGAUCUUAGUGAAGACAAAAAGAUUUCAUUUCCACCAUUUUUAUUAUACUUUGUAAGCUUUAUGUCUAUUAUUGCUUACUACUUUUGUGACCAAUAUGUGUGAGUAGUUUCUUUAAUCAAAGUUGUGGACCCAAAUGAUGGGUGUUAUGUAAUGGGUGGCUAACAUUGCAUAUAUAUAUAAUGGGUUGUGAUGUGUUUUAUUA